CGGUCCAGCCCACGCGCGCCGCGCACCGUCAGUCCAUCUCUUCUCCGAUCGAGGUCUCUCUCGCCGGAGAGGGGGGCCAAAGACCAGUCAGUCCUCCUCGCCGUCGACGGCCCUCGCGACGGCGACGGUUUCUGGGGCAAGUGUACGGAGACCCCUUCGCGGCGGCUCGCCCAGACCAGAUGUGGUGCCAUGGUGGUAGAGGUGUAAAUUUAUUUAUCGCGAUGAUGGUGACUUUGAAGCCAAGCCACUGCCUCCAAAUGUCUUUAGUCUCCGGCUUCCCAGUACAAUAUUUUCUUUUUUUGACCGAAAGUACAAUAUUUUCUUAUUAGAGGUCAGUACGAUGUACGAUGUUGGCUGACGAUAAUGAUAAGAGGUCACUUUUGAAGAGUUCCUUGGGAAUAUUUUGGAACAAUCCUGUCGGCCACAAUAGCAGGCUGUUGGCUUUCAUAUAUAGAAAUAACUAUGGCAUCUCAUUGUUCUUUCAAUAUCAGGUUUGUUACAUAUAUAGAAUUGGAUAUGGCCUUUUCAGUUAGGUCCACACAAUUCCUCAAUAGUACAAUUAGACGUAUGAGAACAUAUACAGCAAUACAAUGAAUUAGUCAUAACCUGGUACCAAUCUGAAAACAGGAAUGCGGAUUGUGAUGACACAAUUCAGGACAGUGAUACAAAAUGAUCUAUCAUGUAUUAAAUUUUCAACUGCUUAAGGUGACAAAGCACCAGCCUCCAAAUCGUGUCAUUAUCCACAUCAAUGGGGGGCCGGCUUCUCACUUAUCCUGUUCUCUGUGGGUCAACAGCAUGGCUGCAUGGCCGGCUUCUCUUUUUUCCCUCUAGAAUACAGCACAGCCGGCUUCUCACUGAUCCGAGUCAUAAUUGGAAGGGUAGACUUAACUGUAUGCAUAUUGUCUCCCAAAAGGUUCCAACGCCAACGGUCUAGGCUCUAGGAGAGAUUUGUGUGAAUCCUAAAGAAAGCAUGGAUCAAUAACUGAACGUGCUUAAUUACAUGUCUGGGGGAUGCUGCACGCAAUUAACUCAGAAGGACUUGCAGCCCUGGAAGUAAUUAUUUAGUUUUCAGCAAAUCAAGUGUAAUGUGCAGACCAGGUCAAUUGGGUAAAAAUGAUAUAUAUAUAUGCUUAUGCUUAUAGAUAAGAAUCUUUCCAACAGAACAACGGUAUAACGUUGUCUUAUGUUAUGUUUUUCUUAGUUUUGUUAAGGCAAGGCCUUUUUCAAUUUAUAAAACCAAGUAACACCAACAGAUCAGAAAGCGAUUCCUCACCUACUUUGGGGCUGCGAUAAGGCGAGGCAGAACAAGAUGACAGAAUCUGAAGCAGGUGUUGCGGGUUUCCUCUAGCUGCCCUUGUGGUUACAGGCAGGGGCCAGAGCAGUAUUUCCUCCUUUUGUUUUUUGAGUCUCCAGUGCAGUAGUUCCUAGAUGAACAAGAUGGAUCAUACUUUUUUUUUUUUACUUUCUUAGGGAACAAGAUGGCUCAUCGUGCUUUUGCUCUACCAGUUCUCAACUUCUUGAUUCAGCCUGUUAAAAGUAACUUCUGAAUGCCAGUUUUAUCACAA